rnacentral:rRNA from 1 species
UUCCACGGUCUCUGCGACGCAGCUAACGCAUUAAGUGCCCCGCCUGGGGAGUACGAUCGCAAGAUUAAAACUCAAAGGAAUUGACGGGGCCCCGCACAAGCAGCGGAGCAUGCGGCUUAAUUCGACGCAACGCGAAGAACCUUACCAAGGCUUGACAUAUACAGGAAUAUGGCAGAGAUGUCAUAGCCGCAAGGUCUGUAUACAGGUGGUGCAUGGUUGUCGUCAGCUCGUGUCGUGAGAUGUUGGGUUAAGUCCCGCAACGAGCGCAACCCUCGUUCUGUGUUGCCAGCAUUUAGUUGGGGACUCACAGGAGACUGCCGGGGUUAACUCGGAGGAAGGUGGGGAUGACGUCAAAUCAUCAUGCCCCUUAUGUCCUGGGCUGCACGCAUGCUACAAUGGCUGGUACAAACGGCUGCAAUACCGCAAGGUGGAGCGAAUCGGAGAAAGCCAGUCUCAGUUCGGAUUGGGGUCUGCAACUCGACCCCAUGAAGUCGGAGUUGCUAGUAAUCGUAGAUCAGCAACGCUACGGUGAAUACGUUCCCGGGGCUUGUACACACCGCCCGUCACGUCACGAAAGUCGGUAACACCCGAAGUCAGUGGCCCAACCGCAAGGAGGGAGCUGCCGAAG